UUUCCCAGCCGUCGUGCGCUUCUUCUCUCGUCGUGCGGGUAGCCUUCGCGCCUCGCCGUGUCCCUUCGCGCCGUCGCCAGAAAUUCCUUCGCUCCGUCGCCUGCGCCGACUUCGUGCUUCCUGUCCCCGACCCUGCUGCCCAAGAAGCUACAGAGAUGGAUUCCAGGCCGAGGACUCCAUCAAGCCGGCGUGCACUGCAGAUCUUCAAGGCCAUGUAUCCACCAAUCCCCUCCCCACGGGAAAACAAGAUGAAAAAUCGCCUAUAUGCAGCAGGUUCCGUGGUCGCGUGGAGGUGUUGGCGCGUGUCUGUGCUAUGGCGAGGUAAAGACCGGGCCGGUUCUGUGCGCUUGCUCGUCGCAGAGGCAGCCGGCCACGACACAAGCAGGGCGGCGCUGAAGCAACUCCAACCGUCGAGGACGAUGGCUGUACGACGCAGUAGAUCCCGUCGACGAAGCAGACCCUCGGACCCGUCCCUCGACCCUGGCGGAGUUUCCCCUUCGCGCGGCACCAGAUCGCGCGCGAACAAUGACGGCGGCGUGCGCGGGAGGAGACUUUCUCGUGCGAAACGUCGGAUGCCAAGCGCCCAAGCGUCGAGGACGCGCGCAUAUAUGCGCGGGUUCAGCCGGUAUUUGCCAACUCCCCAAAAUUGCCAAAGCCAAUUACCAAACGGUCGGAGAGGAGUUUUUGUGCUUUUUAGCAAAAAUCAAGAAUGCCAAAGCCAAAUGGCAAACCGUUGGAGUUGCUCUAAGUAUAGCAUCAACAAAUCCCCUAACCGUGAAAUACCACGAGACUCUAGCAGUUCACAUAAUAACGCGACACUACAGAAAUAACAUUUUUUAACGAACCA